rnacentral:rRNA from 1 species
AACGAACGCUGGCGGCAUGCCUAAUACAUGCAAGUCGAACGAGAUCUUCGGAUCUAGUGGCGCACGGGUGCGUAACGCGUGGGAAUCUGCCCUUGGGUUCGGAAUAACUUCUGGAAACGGAAGCUAAUACCGGAUGAUGACGUAAGUCCAAAGAUUUAUCGCCCAAGGAUGAGCCCGCGUAGGAUUAGGUAGUUGGUGAGGUAAAGGCUCACCAAGCCGACGAUCCUUAGCUGGUCUGAGAGGAUGAUCAGCCACACUGGGACUGAGACACGGCCCAGACUCCUACGGGAGGCAGCAGUAGGGAAUACUGGACAAUGGGCGAAAGCCUGAUCCAGCAAUGCCGCGUGAGUGAUGAAGGCCUUAGGGUUGUAAAGCUCUUUUACCCGGGAUGAUAAUGACAGUACCGGGAGAAUAAGCUCCGGCUAACUCCGUG